AAGGACUAGGGGUGAAGGUCAUUCAAAGUGAAAACCCAUCAUUUCUCAUACAAAAGUAUGAAAUCGAUUGUGAAAAGUAUGGUGAUAUUUGCUUUUGGAAUAUAUGCAGGGAUCUUCGUAGACCAAAGAUACCAGAUUCCACGUGUUCCAGAUCCUUCACAGAUGGCAGAAAUGAUCCAGGCUAAAUUUAGCCAAUAUCAGAAAAAGUUGAAAAACGAUGAAGAUGAAGGCAAAUGACUCUAUCCAAAAUGGAAUAAUUUAUUCAGACUGGGAAUCACUGUUUUCCUGUUUUUUUUUUCUUAAAUUUAAGGGAAUGGUUAUUAGGAGAAUAAGAUAGAAUGUUUACUUCUGAGAUGUUAAUUCUAUGAUGAGAGUUUUGGCUCCAUAGAACAGCUGAUCAAGCAUCUCUCUUUUAACUUAUUUAUUGAUCCUUUGCUUGCUGUCUGAACUUUUAACUGUCAACAUACGAUGUGAUCUUUAACUGCAGGAUAAUGAAGGAAGAAUUUAAUUAUCUUUCAAGCCAUGUAUGAAAUUAUGUUUAGACCACGGUGGAAGUGAAGAACAAAAGACUCGGACGUGGUGUAACUCGGAUAACUGCAUUUUAUCCCGCUUAUGGACCCGUGGUCUAAAUAACACGUGUAUAACGCACUCUUGUAUGCCACAUAACCCUCGCUGACUCGGGGUCUAUCUAUUACUUAAACUAUGUGAUGAAGGACCACGCCUUUGUCCACUGACAUGUAAUUCUUCUACAUAACAUACCUCAGGGUUAAACAUCGAUCUGCUGGAUCAUGGGGACCUUACUUGACUUGUUGGUGUUGCAGGAUUAAGGAAUUAAUUCCUAGUCUGCUGCUGCUGAUAAACUCACAAGCAGCAGUUUCAUAAUGUACUACAAGUUAAUCCUGUGUCUCACAAACAGGUCCCUUGAAUGUGUUGCAGUGAUAGAAAGACACUGGCAUCUUUUUAAGGUUAAAGAUGUCAUUUGAAGGAAGAAAAACUUUUUGAGAGAGUGUGAAACCAGUAAUUUAUGAUUACGAAGUGUAGCUUACGUAACUUGAUAUCAUUAUUGUGUUAUUGUUGUUUUGUCCACAAAGAAACUUUGACACUAAAGCAGGUAAUACUUGCAUUCAGUGAUAGUUAUAGAUCACUUACUAACUUUCUUAAUUCGGACUAGAAAGACUUUUUCGUUGUCUAAAUUUUUUUUAAAAUUUAAACUGAAAUAAAAAAGAAUAUAUGCUACA